CGGGACGUGGGCGGGCCGGGGGCGCGUCAGCAGCUGCGCUCUUCUCUCCACAGUGCCGCCAGCCCCCAGGUAUCCGGGCAGCUCCCGCCCUGGCGGGGUAGGGAAGCCAGUCUCCCGCCAUUAGUGGCCCUGAAAUGGGCUGUGGAUCCCAGCCCCCCGGGCAGGGCGCUACCCCUUUUGCUGGCGGGUCGGGGGCAUACGCCACCGUCGCCAUGUGCGCGGAGCCCAUCUGGAAGCCCCGGGGUGACCAUUGAAACCCCUCGGUUCAGACUCACUGCUGAUCCUGGCCUCAGCGGUGAGGAAGGAUGGGGCUAGGAAGAGCCGCACCCUCUGCUGUUCGUGACCCAGCUGGGUGCCCCCCCCCCUCCCCUCAAGUCUUCCCUGUCUCUGAGGAGUCUGGGGGACGGCGGGUGGGCCUCACAGGCCGCCCCCUUCCUGAAGGACAGUGUGCGUCUCUCAGGAGAGCCGAGAGGCGCUGGGAGGGUCCCCUCCACUGGAGCAGCUCCCUCCUGCCCCGACCAGCCACACCUGUGUGUCAGCGGGGAGGUGCGACACGGCCGCGUGUGUCACCGCUGCGACCAGCCCGGCGGGCCGAUCUAGGACUCUGAAAGGGGGGUACACAUGGGGAGGUUCGGUGGGUGUGGGCCUGUCACACUGCAGUGUUUUCAGAGCCGGCUGGGGUCUGAGCACUCGGAGCAACCCCCUUGAGACCUAAGGAUGGAGGAGACUUGAUCAAGAAAAGGGGAGCCUGCAAUGCCAGCUGGAAGGAGCAUUUUGAAGAGCCUGUUUUUUGAUAAGAGUGCUCUCAACUCCAGCCUGCAACACCAGGUCAGGCACCCCCAGCCCUUGGCGAGAUGUGGCAUAUGUUUUUCAUAGAUUGUAAGGGGCCAGAAGGGACCUUGGAAGAUUAUCGGGUCCAGCCCCCUGCACCAAGUAGGAAAGACAGCUGGGGUCAGGUGACCCCAGCAAGGUCCAGUACCCAACUUCCAGUACCCAAUUUCCUGGGUAGGCGAUUGCACCACCUCGGAAGGGGGCUUAUUCCACAAUCUGGACACCCUGACUGUGAAACAGUUUUUCCUAAUGUUGAUCCUGAAUCAAUUUUCCAGGAGUUUGUGGCCAUUACUCCUAGUUUGCCCCUUGGGUGCCCUGGUGAACAGUUGCUCACCAAGCCUUUGAUGUACUGCUACCAGGCCCCCUCUCAGCUGUCUUUUCUUCAGGCUGAAGCAGGUGAAGAACAAUAAGGCAUUGAGCUGAUGAAAUUCCUGCCAAAAUCUUCAAGUAGGGGGAAAGGAGCUCAAUCACAGCUCCACGCCCUCAUCUUCAGGAUUUGGAACGACAAGGAAAUCCCAGAUGACCUCAGGGAUGCCAUGAUUGUGACAGUCUUCAAGAAAGGAGACAAGCCCACCUGUGGAAAUUAGAGGGAUCUCCUUGCUAUCCAUCACAGGAAAGAUCAUUGUGAGAGCCGUCUGCUUUCACUAGCUGAAGAGCUCCUCCCAAGAUCUCAGUGUGGGUUUAGGGCAUCAGGAGACACAACUGACAAGAAUUUUAUCAUCAGCUGCAGGAAAAUUCCUGGUAACAGGAGCGAAGAUUGCACCAGGCACACAAUCCCCCAUGUUCAGAGUGGCUCACUAUUGGGGGAGAGACUGACACAAAUGUACAUCACCUUCACCUGGGAUUUAAUACGGUAAGAAAUUGACUCAAAAUCAGUUAGGCUACUGGUGAACCGAGACCACUGCUCAUCAUGUUGUUAUUCUCUGUAGCCUGUCUUAUACUGCUCCAUUGUUUUUUUUCUUGUGUCUUGUACUUUAAUUGUGUACUGUUUAGGCAGGGACAGGGGUUUUUUGUGUUUCUAUAUGACACAGCGCAGUUCAUGACUACAGCUUCUAGGCCUGAUGACCAUAUGAAAAAUGAUAGCUUAAGCUUCCAAAAGAGAUCUAAGAUGCAGCAUUAAUGAGCUGAUUUAAAUUCACAAAAUGCAAAUAAAAAACAUCGCAUCUUUUGCAGCAGAAGAGAUAAGACUUGGCUAUAAUGUCUGUAAAGGGGGUUCACUAAGGGUGCUGAACAGGGACAGACCCCAAAGUAAAUCGUAGUGUUGCCAGCCUUGGCUGUUUUCAGGGGGCCUAAGCCAGCUGCAGGGAUUUGGCUAACGAAGGUUCACUUAACGAUCACUCAAAAACAGGCUUUUGUGUGAUCUUCACGAAGUAAACCUUUGCAGAUGCUACAAGUAGCCUGCUCAAGUAAGUAAAAGAAAGUAGGUGGCAUGUCCAGCGAACUCAGUAGUGAAAUCAAAUUAAACAGAGCAAAAGGCCUGAUGAGAAAAAUCACAUGAGAAGAUAAACAAACCAGACGUAGCAGACUUAGUUUCAACUUAAGAUUGUUAGUGGUAGUGACUGAUGUAAGCAAAUGUGCAGAUGUAGUUGUGCUAUAACAGGUAUACACCUUUACUCAGUGCCUUAGGUACGUUGCAAAAACAAAAGCAGCCUGGAAACAGAUGACCAUAAAUAAAGAGAAAAGAGGUCAGAGACAUUCCAGAAGAAUCAAGGAAAUGACUGUGAUAGACAAAUCACAAAUGGAUAUAUAAUAGUAAUAAUUCAAGAUAGAUAUUUCCAGUUGCCAGGAAAACCCUGCAUCUGACAUCUAUAGUUUUUAUGAUUAAAAUACUGAGAAAAAUCUUGUAUGCAAGAAUGAAUGCGUGUAUAACUGUUUGAGUCAUGUAAAGCAGGGAUGUCAGACGUACUGCCCAUGGACAAGAUAGAGGGACCAGGAAUUUGGGAGUGGGGCAUGGCCCCACUACACACCUGUGUGGGUGACAGGGGGCAAAUAAUGGCUGUGGUAACCCCUACAGCUGCCACCACAACUGCUUGGCCCAACACUGCUCCCAUAUGAGGAUCCAGCCCAGGGGCCAAGGAAGCUUGACACCCCUCACAUAAUGGACUACUUGCAUGCUUUCACACUGAAAAAAGCCUGUGUGAAUUAUAGACAUGUGAAAAUACUAUCUGCUGGUUUGGUUUGGUUUGGGAUUUUUGCAAGUCUGUCAUUUAAAAGCAAUUACAUUUGUUUCCUUUCAAAUUUGUUCAAACAAACAUGGCUCCUGUUUGGAGAUCUUGCAUGCAUGGCUUCCACUUUCCAAAACAAAUGUGCUCAGCUGUGCUAGAGUACCAGAAGGAAGUAUAGGAAGUGUGUCAGUAAAAAAAAACAAAACACAGCAAGGACAGCAAUUGCUUGAAAGAUUUAAUGCAGGGGUGCAAUUCAGCCCAGGCCCUGGCCCAGAUCCAAACCUGGCAGCAAUGGAGAAGCAAGUGGCAGCAGGACCAGCAAAGACAAGCAAAGCAGCAGCAGGGCCACUGGGGCCGUGGCAGUGCAGCCCUUUCUCUCCCUGUUGCCAUGUGCACAACAGGGCCCCAUAGCCUCAGAUUCUGCAACAGGCCCUGCCCCUCACUAGGCCUGCCCCCAGAUUUCCUGACCUACCACAAGUCCCGUGUUCCAUGGACUGCACGUUUGACACCCCUCAAUUAGUGCAUUGUGGUUGUUCUUGCAACACUAAUGCAUCCUCAAAACAGCUACUUGGAUGUUUUCACUUAAGCAGGGCCGUCUAAUGGGCAGCCUGCAGGCCAUGCGCAGUUCCUGGUUAACUGGAAGUUGACAGCCCUGACUUACAAUAUGUGUUCUUUCGGUCUGAAGCAUCUGUUUCAUGACAUCCCAAUGCCUGUUGCUGGAAACAGGGUCUUGGAGAACAGACAAAUACAAGAUACUGCAGAUUGAGAGGUGGAGUGGAGUUAGGGACCAACUUGUGUUGUGACUUCUGAUCAGUCCUGUGGAAAAAUUGUUGAUUGAGCUGGUUGUGCUGGAGCUGAGCAACAGAUGUUGACUGACAUUUUUCAGAAGUUAUCAGAACACCUUACAAUGUGAAUGAGUUUCUCGCUGUUCCCCACAGGGUCCCAUACCAAAUGUAUAAAUGAGGAGACCAAUCCACAAAUAGAUUAAGUGACUUGUUCAGGGUCACACAGGAAGUCUGUGACAGAGCUAGGAACUGAACACAAAUAGUCCCACUUCACUGCCUUAAAUCGGAGCACCAUUAAAACUUCCUCUCCUGCUUCCUCUCUCCCAAUCUUUAUUUCCUCAUUCCAGAUAGUAGUAAAAUAAAUGGUGAAUCCUGUUCAUCUAAACUUCCUUCUCUUCUGCUUAUGCCUGCUGAGUUUUACGUUCGUUUUAACCAGAAGUUUCAAUGUGAACAUUUUAUGGUGUUUCUUAAAUUUAGGGGUUUAAGUGCACGACUGCUAACAAAGUGCCAAAGAGAAGCAAAUGUAACAAAAGUCCUGCUGGACCCCACUGCCCGCACCCUUCCAGGUCGAAACCGACCCAUCCACCACGACUCUCUGGGUGCGACCCUCCAGCCAAUUCGCCACCCACUGGACUGUGUAGUCAUCCAAGUAAGUACUUAGCAGUACUUUAAGUCACGGCUUAAAGUACUGCUAUAGUUGAAGAUUUUCUUCUUUUUUUUGGUUUCACAAACCAUGAUUUAACUCGAAGUCUUGAAAAGAAAUUUAGAUGAAAAGUUGUCUUUGUUUACAACUAGCAUUAGCUUUGUCUAGAAACUGAAAUAUAUGUACGAAUUAGUCACUUCAAAUGAGAACUGAGAAAGCUCCUGCUCCAGGUAUGUAGCCCUUUAUGAUGACAAGGAAGACAAGACACAGCAUCCUUGAGCAUCUUGAAAAUAAAAGGAAAAGAAAUUAAAAAUCAUAUCACCAAGAAAGUACAUAAGUGCCUUUUGAGGCUCAGAGAGAAAUCUGGCAUGAGGAAAAUAUGGUUAUACUAAAACUAUUUGCAUAAUGUUUACCAGAAGUUAAAAAUAGUCAAAAGCAACUGCUUGGGUGUAGUUCCAGGGUUAGGGAAUACAAUUUGACAGCAGUUGGUCUGCCAAUAUACUGUAUAAUGCUUAUGUAGCAAUGUAGCCUACAAACAACUUGUUCAUUUGAGAUUUAGAGAUUUAAAUAAAAUUAGGGAGUUCUAAUCAUAAACCAGAUACAAUUGGGAGGAAAUGACAGAGAUGAAAAAUGCUGUAGAAGUUGAGCAUAACUUUCGUAUGUGGAUGUUUUUGUUCAUUUAGCCUCUAAACAAGUCACCAAAGUCUUUGGAUUUAAAAGAAAUAUAAAGUUUUCCAAUCUGGUGCUGAAACCAAAUGGGAAGGAUUAGCUACACUUGACUUAGCAGAAGGGAUCUUGGUUUUCUGUUUAAAAAUUGCAAAAUCUCUGAUUAAAAAUGCAAAUUCCCCGAUUAAAAAAACCCAAAAACCAUGAUUAAAAUGAAACACCAUUACAGGCACUCCUCAGACUUACAACACAAUUGGUUCUUAAAAAAUGCGUCUUAAGUCAAAACAUUGUAACUUGGAACCAGUUUUCCCAUAGGAACAAUGUUAUAAAUGGGGGAUUGGCUUCUUUGCCACAGUCAACACAGCUGCAUCCAGCUGGUAAGUCUGUUGUGGGGGAGAGGAGUCGGGAGGGGUGUGGGGGCCCAGAUCAAUACCCCUGCAAUGAGAGAGGAAUUGGGGCUGGGACCUGGGCUGGGGGAAGGUCUGCCCCCCCACAGCCUCCACUCUGCUGCCCACCCUGCCCCGAUCUGGAGGCACACAUCCCCCCCAUGCCAUGCUGCUGCUCACCCAGCCAGGGCAAAGCUGCUGCCUGUCCAGGAGGUGUGGGGAGGCCGAGCCAGCUCCCGCUGCUGGGUACCACUUGUCCGGAGGCAGUGCAGUGCCUCAGUCUCGCACUAGCCCUGUGCCAGCUGGGCGAGUGGCAGGGGGGCAUAACCCCUGCUCACAGUGCCUCCUGCCCAGUGCAGCCCCAGCCUUGCUCACCUGGUGCAGAUCCUGGGGAUCUGUACAUAUACAGGUAUCAGUUGAACACAAUGUUUUAGUGAUAUUUACAAUUUUAAAGCAGUUUGGAAACCUGCCAGUGCCUCAGUCACCAUCUUCUACACACACACACACACACACGCGCGCGGUUUAGUCCAUCUGUCUGUCUGUUGUCUGUAACACUCUUUACAUGUGAACAACUUGAAAACUGUAAGAGAGAGAACAUUUGUGUCUUCAGAGAAAUUUCUUUGCUAAACCUUAGCGCCUGUUUAAUGACCAUGUCAGGAAGAUUCGAACUUCCAGAACUGGGAAAAAAGUCAGGCCAGGGCUGUUUCUAUUGAGCUCCUCCCGGGAGGACACUGGGAGCCUGGCAUGGCGGGAAGGGUAGAAGGGUGUGGGGAGCAGCUAAGGAAAAGCAGGAACAGGGCAAAGACACGAGGCAGUGGGCAAGCAGCAGUGGCCCCAUCCCAAGCCCUGAGCAGGGAAGGAGGCACCCGGGGGUGGUGCAGAGGAAGCGCCGGGGUGUGGGUGGCUAUUGCAAGGUACAGAGCUCGGCUGCCCUUGCCCAGCAAAGAGGCACUCAGGUGGCAGCAUUGGUGGGUAUAUCUCCAGCCUGCUGCACAACAGCAAGUGCAGAAAGGGAUUGGUAUCUUCAAAUGUUCAGCCUAUUUAAGUUUUAUAAAUAUUUAAUAAAUAUAAAAAGUAAAAUCUGUUUGUUUUUGUUAUUUGAAAUCCAUCUGUCAUUCUUGAUGAGCAAUUCAGUAGUAAUAAAAUACAUUCUAAAUAUC